UCUAAUCAAUUCUUACUCAAGUUCUAAACUAAAUUCCAAGCAAACUCUGAAUCCUAACCAAAUCUUAGACCAAAUCCUAAGCCCUAACUAAAUCUUAGACCAAAUCCUAAGCCCUAACUAAAUCUUAGACAAACCUUGAACCAAAUUCUAUAGCAAAUUGGAACCUCAAUAAUGAAUGAUCGAAUUGUUAAUAUCAAUUUAAAAUUUGAACAAUUCUUAAUAUCUUAGUUAAAAAUAAGCACAAGAAAGAUGAAAUUGAUGACACUUACUAAUUAAGAGAAAUACAAGGUAAUCCAAUUGGAUAUUAGGCGGCUUCUUUUUCCAACCUAAAUGUUGAACUUCCAACAUCAAUACCUCUUUUUUGAACUAUUAAUUUUUUUUCAAAUUUCACUUAAAUGUUAAAAAUUAAGUCUAUUAUCCAUAUAAUUUUUUUUGAUAUAAUUGACACAUUGCUAAAGAUCUUAGAAACACUCACCAACCUUCAAACUCCAAUUUUUGAAACUUCAAUCUACAAAAACCUUCACACACUUUGAUCCAACUAUUUGAUUGACUUCAAAAUUUGUAUACACAUUUAUAACUAGUACACUAGCACACUAUUCAAAAUUCAUCCA
rnacentral:lncRNA from 1 species